GGGGGUAGAGUUCAGCAGCAGAGUGUUUGACUGCAGAUCAAGUGGUCCUUGGUUCACAUCCUAGUGCCCCCU
rfam:Chelonia mydas contig140215, whole genome shotgun sequence.